CAAUGCCAAUGCAAGUACAUGUUUGUGCAGCAAAAGCUGGCGUGGAUAUGUUAACGCGAACCUUAGCGAUUGAGUGGGGUUGUGAAGAUUUACGAAUAAACUCUAUCGUACCAGGUCCGAUUGCUGAGACCGAAGGUUUUAAUCGUCUUGCACCGAGUGCUGCAUUGCAGCAAAGCGUUGCUCAAUCUGUACCCUUAAAGCGUAAUGGCACGGGACAGGAUAUUGCUAAUGCGGCCUUAUUUUUAGGCUCUGAAUUAGCCUCCUAUAUCACAGGCGUUGUUCUGCCAGUUGAUGGUGGUUGGUCACUCGGUGGAGCGAGUAUUGCGAUGACAGAGUUGAGUGAACGGGCUGCAAAAAUGUAGUUUGGUGUUAGAUUCUAGAUAUUCAAAAUCGAGAACGUUGAUUUUAUAUAGAUUAAGUAGGUAAUGAUCCAUGGCUAACGCAUUACAAGAGCAGCUACUGAAAGCAGGGCUGGCCAGUAAACAAAAAGUUCGAGACGUUAAGACCCAAAAACGUCGUGAUAAAAAAGCACGAGUAGAUGACGGUUCAGCGGCAUUAAAGCAAGAAGUAGCUGAGCAAAAACGGCUGCAGGCGGAAAAAGAUCGAGCGCUAAAUGAACAGCGUUUUGCAGAAGCAUCUGAGCGUGGACAGGUGCGUGGUUUAAUCACUGAGUUCACUAAGUCUGCGAUUAAAAUCCCUGCUUAUGCAGAAGUGAAAUUUAACUAUACUCUCGAUAAUAAAAUCUAUUCUUUAUAUAUAGAUGAAAAGAUCCAAGCGGAGUUACUCAAAGGGCAAUUGGGUAUUAUUAGAUAUGAAGAAAAGAGUUAUCUUGUGCCACAUAAGUUAGCUGAACGGGUUAACUUGCUCGUGCCUCAAUGGUGUGGCUAUUUGUGGAAGCAUGAUGAAUCUAAAGAGGUUGUUGUUGAAGAUGAUCCUUAUGCUGAUUAUGCUAUUCCAGAUGAUUUAAUGUGGUAAAUCAUCAUCUAAUCGUGAGCUAACGCGAAGACACUCUGGGUGGUAACCCGAUAGAAUAAUGACCCUUAAGGAAACUUAAGGGUUUUUUAUACGUUAAAUUUAUGCCUAUACAGAAUAGUGUGGCAACUUUUAGUCGUGGUAUCACGAUUGUUUUCUGUAGUGAACUGGUAUAAAUUAAAACAACUGUUUUAAUCCUACGUUUAAGAGUCUACCAAUGAAUCCUUACCAAGCCCCGUUGACGGAUAUGCGUUUCCUACUGGAACAGGUAUUUGAUGCCCCAAACACUUGGGCACAAUUGCCUGAGAUUGCUGAAAUGGUCGAUAUUGGCACUGCUAAUGCCAUCCUUGAAGAAGCCGCUAAGAUCAGCAGUCAGUUAAUCCAUCCGCUUAAUCGGACGGGCGAUGAGCAGGGCGUGUUGCAUCAAGACAAUCAAGUGAUUACCCCUGAUGGCUAUAAAUCCGUUUAUGAGCAGUAUUCCCAGGGCGGUUGGAUUGGUUUGUGUGGCGAUCCUGAAUUUGGUGGCAUGGGCAUGCCGAAAAUGUUGGGGAUCUUAGUUGACGAAA
rnacentral:rRNA from 1 species